AACGCGAAGAACCUUACCUGGGCUCGAACGGCUUCUCAACGACGGUGGAAACACCGUUAUCCCGCAAGGGAGUGGAGUCGAGGUGCUGCAUGGCUGUCGUCAGCUCGUGUCGUGAGAUGUUGGGUUAAGUCCCGCAACGAGCGCAACCCUCGUCCUGUGUUGCUAUCCCGCAAGGGAGCACUCUGGCGAAACCGCCUCGGAUAACGGGGAGGAAGGUGGGGAUGACGUCAAGUCCUCAUGGCCUUUAUGUCCAGGGCUACACACGUGCUACAAUGGCCGGUACAAACCGUCGCAAACCCGCGAGGGGGAGCUAAUCGGAAAAAGCCGGCCUCAGUUCGGAUCGCAGUCUGCAACUCGACUGCGUGAAGCUGGAAUCGCUAGUAAUCGCGGAUCAGAACGCCGCGGUGAAUACGUUCCCGGGCCUUGUACACACCGACUGUAC
rnacentral:rRNA from 1 species